UACGUAGGGGUGCGAGCGUUUGUCCGGAAUUAUUGGGCGUAAAGAGCUCGUAGGCGGCUAAGUAAGUCAGGUGUGAAAACUCCAGGCUCAACCUGGAGACGCCACCUGAUACUGCUUUGGCUAGAGUCCGGUAGGGGAGCAUGGAAUUCCUGGUGUAGCGGUGAAAUGCGCAGAUAUCAGGAGGAACACCAGUGGCGAAGGCGGUGCUCUGGGCCGGUACUGACGCUGAGGAGCGAAAGCGUGGGGAGCAAACAGG
rnacentral:rRNA from 1 species